rnacentral:misc_RNA from 1 species
AUCAUCGGAGUUAUCCUAGGGAAGCGAUACUAGCUAGCAUGGGCAUGUUGUUAUUUUUAUUUUAUUUUUGAAGUAGUGUAUUUUGUUUUGUUUCUGCAUCUAAACAAAAAGGGGUAACCUUGAUGGUGUAGAUAUAGUCUAGACCCUUAGGGCGGGGUGGGGAUUUGAAUUUCAGUUUUCAGAGGUUGCGAAUGUUUUGGAAGUGGUAGUAGUUUGUUGGGCUGGGAAUUUUAUCUUUUUCAUUCCUACCCUAGUGCAUGUAGCAGGGAGCUACAUGUAACUGGCAUUGAUGAUUUGUUGUAUGCGACUUUGGACUGGUGUAUGAUAAUGUAAAUUGAGGUUGGUGAGUAUGUAAUUAAAGAUCCUUGAAAUGUGGAAGGGUCUUUGGUAGUAAGAGAUUUUGUUGAAUGUGA